CGGACAACAUGAUUUGGCUCCAGAUCUGCCACGUUCCAAAUCUCCACAAUCGUGAAAUUCUAACCAGUUACUCAGCCUUGUGGAAUCUUUAGCACAGGUUCCGGUGAUUCAGAGCAAGGAAUUGUCAGAGACACACGGAUCAUAGCAAGCAAAGCGAGAGAAUGUAUUAAGGACACUCGACGAGAGGGAAGCCGGCCAGGCAGAGAGGACUCUGGAAACCCAGCAGGACGAUGCACAAAGGAACCUAGAUUUUCUGUUACAGUUUGCAUGCUUCCUGGCUCAUGUGCAGAAGUAUAGCCAUACAUUGGAGGAAGAAAAAUAAGCCCGUAUCCAUCUUGGGUUAUCACCCCAGACACUAACAUGUCUGUGACCACAGUUUAUAAAAGUUAAAUACAAACAACAAA